rnacentral:rRNA from 1 species
GACGAACGCUGGCGGCGUGCUUAACACAUGCAAGUCGAGCGGUAAGGCUCCUUCGGGAGUACACGAGCGGCGAACGGGUGAGUAACACGUGAGCAAUCUGCCCUUCACUUCGGGAUAACCCUCGGAAACGAGAGCUAAUACCGAAUACGACCACCUCAGGCAUCUGAUGGUGCUGGAAAGUUCCGGCGGUGAAGGAUGAGCUCGCGGCCUAUCAGCUUGUUGGUGUGGUAACGGCGCACCAAGGCAACGACGGGUAGCCGGCAUGGGAGGGUGAGCGGCCAAAGUGGGACUGAGCAACGGCCAAGACUCCUGCAGGAGGCAGGAGUGGGGAAUAUUGGACAAGGGGCGAAAGCCUGGUGCAGCAACGCCGCGUGAGGGAUGACGGCCUUCGGGUUGUAAACCUCAUUCAGCAGGGACGAAGCGCAAGUGACGGUACCUGCAGAAGAAGCACCGGCCAACUACGUGCCAGCAGCCGCCGUAACAC